rnacentral:rRNA from 1 species
GUCUAUUGUCAUAUUACCCUAAAAGUGUCUGAUCUUGUCAGAUCACAGAAGCUAAGCAGGGUCAGGCCUGAUUAACAAUUGGGUGAGAGACCAACUGAAGUAGGCUAAAAAAACA